rnacentral:miRNA from 1 species
UCAUCUGGAGAUCUUGUUAAAAUGCAGUUUCAGGUCUUUGCCUGAGAUUUUGCAUUUCUAACAAGCUC